UUUGCAUAUUUGGCUGAUUAAUUUAGUUGGCCAUUUCCACCAUUUUUUAUCUGCUCUUCAAUCACAAGAAGAAGAAGACGAAGAAGCAAUUCACCAAAUGUUAGGCACUGCGAAUCUAGUUAUGGGCUCUUCUUCAGCCGCCAUGCUUACUUCAACGCAGUGUACUGCUAUGAAGUCUCUUGCGAGUUUCAGAAUUGGUCACCAUAGCCACUGCCGAGCACUUUCACUGCCUUCGGGAUUACCGUCUGCUUCUGGUUUUAGCUCCUGCUUCUUCGCUUCAAGAGGUUCUUCGCCCGCCGCCGUUAACGAUCAACUAGUGUCCUCUUAUUCGGCAGGCGAGCAAGAAUCGAACAAGUACCAUUUUGUAGUUGCAAAUGCGAAGUUCAUGCUCGAUGAGGAGGAGCAUUUCAGGGAGCUUCUCUUCGAGCGGCUUCGCUACUAUGCCGCGCGUAACAAGGAGCAGGACUUUUGGUUGGUGAUCGAGCCUAAAUUCUUGGAAAGGUUUCCUAAUAUCACCAAGAGAUUGCAGAGACCUGCCGUUGCUCUUGUUUCAACCAAUAGUACCUGGAUCACGUUCAUGAAGCUGAGACUGGACCGAGUUUUAGCCGAAAGCUACGAAGCCGAUAGCUUAAACAAGCAUUGGCUUCUAACCCGACCAACAUCGGAGUUUGAGAAGCCUGAAAAAUGGGCGGCUCCCUACCCCAAGUAUGAAUAUGGAUGGUGGGAGAUUUCCUUGCCGCCAGUGACAAAAACAGAAGCAGAAGCAAAAGUGUAAGCUGUGUGAUUUUCUUUAACAUCUUUAAUCAAUUAGCAUUUGGAUGGUGCGAGGAUUUGAUAAACCAUUUGUAGUUGGAAUGCAGCUUUUGAUUAUUCUAAUAUGGUAAAUGAAUAUGAUCAAUUAAAGUGAGUAUAGUCGAUCGAGAAUUGACAUGUACCUCGAUUAUGAUUUGAAUCCUGUAAGUAUAGUACAUAAUUUAAUUAGUUAGUUCA